GCAAAUGAUGAUUUUAAACAUUCUUCACUUUGACCUGAAUAAACAGUGAUGAUAGCCUUCACUCUGAGC